rnacentral:lncRNA from 1 species
CUCCAUUUCAAUAUUUGCCUCAACAAGGACAAAAUCUGUUCAUAUUCUAGGAACCUUACCUUUGCCUGUCUUGGUGGAUUGCCUCAGAGACAUCAGCAGAUGACCAAAGUGAUCUCCUGAAAUCCAUUAUGACAUCACCCUAUUUGUGAACUGAUCUCCAGUUGGCUAAGAUAACUCAUGUAACUAAUUGAGGAGGAGACAGAAAAAGAAGGGGAAAUGAUGUAGAAGAAAAAAAAAUCAAUACAGCAAUUGAUGACAGCAAGCAAGAAGAGGCAGUGGAAGUGCUAAACCAUUGCUUGGCUAUGGCAAUUAUCUGGAUGAAGGCUACAAGCUGAGGGUCCAACAAGAUAAGGCUGCAACAAUUUGGAGAAGACAGUCCUAGCCUGAAGUCAGCUGAGCCUAAAGCUUCAGCUUUGAAGAAUUGCUGUGCAGGGAAGCUGAACUUCUGGUCUGGGGUACACUUCAGCAGUCAUUGCCAGAACGUACUGACAGCUCCUUGCAGGGAAUGGAGAAAGUUGGAGUUAAUUGAGCAUUUCGAGGGAGACUGAAAGCAAACAAGACAGCCAUAUUUCUCCUUUUCUUAACAUUUUAAAGUGGGACUCAAGGUGAAUAUCAGUUAAGGUGUGAGAAACUACACUUUUACAGCAAUAUGGCAGAUUUACGUGUGAGAUCCAAUUUUUAGUCCUGAUUGGAACAGAUCCAUUCCUUACACUUAUGUAAAUCCCAGGAAUUCAGAGAGUUUACUCUAGUUGGAACUAGCAGUUGGGUUUAGCAAACCCUGGAUGGUUUGGUUUGAGUUUUCCUUAUGAGUUCUGACUAUUAUCAGUUAAUUGCUAGAGGGAUUUUUGCACAAAUAAAUUUCUUAUGUUGGAAUAUUCA